rnacentral:tRNA from 1 species
CCCUGGCUGGCUCAGUCCGUAGAGCGUGUGACUCUUGAUCUUGGGCAUGUGAGUUCGAGUCCCACAUUGGGGG